rnacentral:rRNA from 1 species
CCUACGGGUGGCUGCAGUGGGGAAUAUUGCGCAAUGGGCGAAAGCCUGACGCAGCGACGCCGCGUGAGGGAUGAAGGUCUUCGGAGCGGAAACCUCUGUCAACAGGGAAGAACGGUCACUGUGCUAAUCAGCAGUGAAUUGACGGUACCUGCAAAGGAAGCACCGGCUAACGCCGUGCCAGCAGCCGCGGUAAUACGGAGGGUGCGAGCGUUAAUCGGAAUUACUGGGCGUAAAGCGCUCGUAGGCGGUAGGUCAAGUCACGGGUGAAAUCCCCGCGCUCAACGUGGGAACUGCCUUUGAACCUGGCAAACUGGAGUGUGUGAGAGGCUAGUGGAAUUCCAGGUGUAGGCGUGAAAUCCGUAGAUAUCUGGAGGAACAUCAGUGGCGAAGGCGACUCUCUGGCACAUAACUGACGCUGAGGAGCGAAAGCGUGGGUAGCAAACAGGAUUAGAUACCCGGGUAGUC